rnacentral:rRNA from 1 species
GAGUUUGAUCGUGGCUCAGAUUGAACGCUGGCGGCAUGCCUUACACAUGCAAGUCGAACGGCAGCAUGAUCUAGCUUGCUAGAUUGAUGGCGAGUGGCGAACGGGUGAGUAAUACAUCGGAACGUGCCCUGUAGUGGGGGAUAACUAGUCGAAAGAUUAGCUAAUACCGCAUACGACCUGAGGGUGAAAGUGGGGGACCGCAAGGCCUCAUGCUAUAGGAGCGGCCGAUGUCUGAUUAGCUAGUUGGUGGGGUAAAGGCCCACCAAGGCGACGAUCAGUAGCUGGUCUGAGAGGACGAUCAGCCACACUGGGACUGAGACACGGCCCAGACCCCUACGGGAGGCAGCAGUGGGGAAUUUUGGACAAUGGGCGAAAGCCUGAUCCAGCAAUGCCGCGUGUGCGAAGAAGGCCUCGGUUGUAAGU